rnacentral:rRNA from 1 species
UACGUAGGGUGCGAGCGUUAAUCGGAAUUACUGGGCGUAAAGCGUGCGCAGGCGGUUUUGUAAGCCAGAUGUGAAAUCCCCGGGCUUAACCUGGGAAUGGCAUUUGGGACUGCAAGGCUGGAGUGCGGCAGAGGAGACUGGAAUUCCUGGUGUAGCAGUGAAAUGCGCAGAUAUCAGGAGGAACACCGGUGGCGAAGGCGGGUCUCUGGGCAGUAACUGACGCUGAGGAGCGAAAGCGUGGGGAGCGAACAGG